CGAGUGGCGCACGGGUGAGUAACGCGUAUGCAAUCUACCUAUAACUGAGGAAUAGCCCAGAGAAAUUUGGAUUAAUACCUCAUAAUAUUAUUAUUUGGCAUCAUUUAAUAAUUAAAACUCCGGUGGUUAUAGAUGAGCAUGCGUUCUAUUAGUUUGUUGGUGAGGUAAAAGCUCACCAAGACUACGAUAGAUAGGGGGCCUGAAAGGGUGAUCCCCCACACUGGUACUGAGACACGGACCAGACUCC
rnacentral:rRNA from 1 species